rnacentral:lncRNA from 1 species
AUCACCAAGGAAGUCAGGACUGGAACUCAAGCAGGUCAGGAAGCAGGAGCUGAUGCAGAGGCCAUGGAGGGAUGUUCCUUACUGGCUUGCUUCCCCUGGCUUGCUCAGCUUGCUCUCUUAUAGAACCAAGACUACCAGCCCAGAGAUGGUCCCACCCACAAGGGGCCUUUCCCCCUUGAUCACUAAUUGAGAAAAUGCCUUACAGUUGGAUCUCUUUUCCUCAUCUGAAGCUCCCUUCUCUGUGAUAACUCCAGCUGUGUCAAGUUGACACAAAACUAGCCAGUACAGCAGUCAUAUAGUAUGUAGCAGUAGUUUUUGUUUGCUUUCUAGGUCAUUGAAAAUGUGAGUAAACUCUCUGAGGUCUAAGAGCUGGGGAGAGGUCAAGAUAUUUGUCCCAAAAGACUGUACUCUUUGAAUUAACAGCUCCAUCUUUGUGUCGGGGCUCAUGAAAGGCUUCUGCAGGUGAGCCUGAUGCAUGGGCUCCCUGCCACUGAGAUCCAACAGGAGUGGUAUGCAGAAGGUGGCUUACCUGCUUCUCUUCAUCCCGAGGUCAGGCCUGGAGACCCAAGCCCUUUGGAAAGCUGACCAGAGGGCACUCCAUCCUUGUUCUUUGCCCUUGACUUGAAGUGUUUCCUCACUUCUGCUGCCAGGGUUGUGUCUGGGAGUCACGACAGUGCUCUCUUCUGACUUGUCAGUCACGGGGAGCAACAAUGUGGAAUUGUGAUUGUCCAGCGAGGAACCUCAUCCUCGGGAGUAACAGCAGCAUCACCUGGCAGCCUAGAACCCACGGUAGCACCCUGCCCCAGCCUGCCCCAUUCUGAAUCAAAACGACCAAGGACAGAGAACACACUCGGUAUUUUAAGAAGCUCUGGCUGUGGUUCUCCGGUAGAUGACAAUUUGACAGCUACUGUCCUAAGGCAUUGUGUUAGUGAAGUCUUCCUUGGGAGUGACUAAGCCUUGGCAGGGUGGUUGGCACAGAAAAUGAGAUAAGUAAGUAGUUACGCUGCAAACUGAAAUCGUUGGGGGGAAAUAGGGACAUAAGGAAACUUUCUGUAUGCGUGGCCCUCAAAUUUCUUUUUUCUAAUGCAGGCUGAGUUUUUAAUCUGUCUGAAAUUCUUGAGGGGGAAAAAACUGUUUUAGAUUUUCAGAGUUUGAAAAUUGUAGAUUUGAAACUUUUAAAUAAUCACAUGUUUGAGGCUGGACCACAACUCUAAAACACAAAACUCACUUAUGUUUCAUGCACACCUUGUUUAUAUCAGCUAGAAGACGAUUGACUGUAUGAUGGCUUUUGCCCUUCUGAACUCUGCUAGUGUCUGUCAUGAGAGGUCAGGUGUGAAAUUUCUCAUUUUGACAUCAGUUUGGCAGCACUCAGAAACUUUUAGACUAAAGAGUACUUUGGAUUUCACAUUUUUGUAUCAGGUCUUCUCAGUCUAUAUUGUAUGUUGUGCCUUCAUAUACUGUGAGUCUCGGAAGAACAGUUUUAUCUGAUUCAUUCACCCUCUAAAAUACAAUGCCCGGAAGUUGUUCAUUUAUUUAACAAAGAUUUUAGUUACAAUAAAUUAGUUACUUUUCCAGGUUUUUGGGUUUGUACUUGAAACGUUUCUGCUUUCGUAGAUGUUAUAUUCUAGCAGGGAGAGUAUGAAUAAAAAGAGUACAAAUAACCUAGGAUAUUAGAAAGUGGCGUCUGAUAUAAGUUAAAAUGGGUCUAUUAGAAGGUGAGUAAGUUAGGGUGCUUGGGGAAGAUCCCCUCCUUCUGGUGGGCAGUCCCAGAGCUCCAGUCCACGGUACCAGAUGAAUAGAUGUUACCUAUUCUCAGAUUUCCAUCCAAGGCAGAAAUCUACCUAUCGCUCUCUGUCUCUGUCUCUGUCUCUGUCUCUCUCUCUCUGUCUCUCUCUGUCUCUGUCUCUCUCUCUGUCUCUCUCUCUCCCUCUCUCUCUCUCUCUCUCAUGCACACACACACACACACAGAGCGUUUUAUAAGACUAUAAGAACAUAAACAUUCAUCAUUAUAAUUGUUUUAGCAAACAUUUGGUGUGUGUUUUCUAUCAUCUGAUACUUCUAGGUAGAUAGAGACAAGAACAAUUAAACAAACAAAACCAAAAGAACAACAACAACAAAACAGAAAAACCACCCCACUGGCUUCAUGGAGCUUACAUUAAUGUUCCAAUCCAAAAGUAGCUAACCCAGUUAUUCUGUACAUUAAAUUUCUCCCAGUCCUGCCCAGGUCAGAUUUCAGAGCUAAUCAUUAAUUGAUAGACUAGAAAUAAAUCUUAAUUUUAGUCAACCCCGGAUUUACUGCUAGUGGAAAUUUAAACGAAUGCAGCUACUAAUUAAGCUCAGAGUUUCUCAAACAAAACCAAAACAAACAAACAAAAACAAAAACCUAAAACAUAAUUUACCAUGUAUCUUAGUUACUUUACUGUUGCUGAGCUAAGACACCAUGAUCAAAGCAACUUAUUAAAGAAGGAGUUUAUUUGGGGCUUACAGUUUUAGGGUUAGAGUCCAUGAUCAUCACUAUAGGAAACAUGGCAGCAGGUAGGCAUGAUGCUGGAGCAGUAGCUGAGAGCUCACAUUUUAAAAUAACCAGGAGAGAGAUGGGGAAGAGAGAGAGGGAAGGAGGGCAGAAAAAGAAAAAGAGAUGAAUUCAAGCAUAGGUGCCUGUUGGAGCUAUUCUUGCUCCACUGCACCAUCUCUUCCACUCCUGUACCCAAAGAACUCUAAGCCCUAACUCAAAGAUUCGUGCAUGUCUGCAUUUGUUGCUUUGCUUUUGCAACAGUGGAAGAGAUGGAACCAGGCUAGCUUUCCAUUAGGUGGAGGCAUGGAUUAGGAAAGAUACAUGCGCAGUGCAGUUUACCCCACUGUAAAGAGAAUUGAGCUCAUGACAAUAGCGGGAAAUGGGCACAGCUGGGAAUCAUUAAUUAGGCAAAAUAAACCUAACUCAAAGGCCACACUUGCUUUUCCAUGUGAUCCUAGAUUUUAAUAUCCGCUCCAUUCUUUGUAUGUGUGUCUGUGCCUGUGUACUUGACUGUGGGGGG